rnacentral:lncRNA from 1 species
UUCUUCCUCGCCGCCGCUGCCAUCGUCAUUAGCUGUCACGCAGCACGCUCGGGCAACGCCGCCACCGCCGCCGGCGACGGCAAGCUGUCGGGCAUCACCGUCACGGCGGCGAGGACAGGGAAGGUGGUGGAGGGGCUGCCGGAGUACGAGGUGACCGUGGCCAACGGGUGCGGCGCCUGCCCGCAGAACGGCGUCAGGGUGAGCUGCCCGGCCGGCGGCGUGCAGAGCGUCGAGCCGGCGGACGAGAGCAAGAUCCGCGCGGACGAAGCCGGGCUCGGCCUCGUCAACGACGCCAUGCCGGUGGCGAAGGGCUCGCCGGUGACCAUCGGUUUUCAAGUUUUCACCUUAACAUGGUCACCUAUCAGCGACAUUUCAUGA